rnacentral:rRNA from 1 species
UACGUAGGGGGCUAGCGUUGUCCGGAUUUAUUGGGCGUAAAGGGUGCGUAGGUGGCGAGGUAAGUCGGAUGUGAAAGCUCGGAGCUCAACUCCGAAAUGGCAUUGGAAACUACCUUGCUCGAGGGUUGGAGGGGGGACUGGAAUACUUGGUGUAGCAGUGAAAUGCGUAGAUAUCAAGUGGAACACCAGUGGCGAAGGCGAGUCCCUGGACAACUCCUGACACUGAGGCACGAAAGCUAGGGGAGCAAACAGG